AAGGAGCAGCACAAAGUGUGAUGAACUGACCACAACCCCCAUUCCCUGUCCCUCUGAGGUGCUUUGGGGUGGAGGUAGAGAAUUCGGGAGAGAAGUUGGAGGAAGAAGGGAGAUGUGGGGGAAGUGAGGACAGGAGGCAGCACAUGGACAGCUCACUCAACACACAGUGAUGAGCAGUGAAAUUAAGUUUUGAUUUUAAGCAAUUCCUGAUAUGCUGCAUGCCAUUUAGAAGUUUUGCUCUCUGACUGGAACAAGGAUGAAAAGCUGGGACUUACUUGACUUGAUAUGCCACCAACUGUAUGUGCCAAAAAGUGACAGCUUGAGUAAAUGAUUUUGUCAAAACAGAAAGUAUCAGUAAGGAGGCAACACUGAGGGAUUCAUAGCAGUUUCUUAGAAGCAGUGGUAUAUAUUCAGCUAUUACUCCUUUUUCUUUUUGCCAAGGGUUCUGAUUAGUCAGCUUUUUCAUAUUAAAUAACUGUGAAUGCAGAUAAUUCUGUAACUUACUAAUGUUGAACGUUACUGAGCAUAUGUCCAUAAAGGAAUGAUUCUAGAAUAAGACCCAUGCAAAGUUAUUGAACUAUAGCUGACAUCAAAUAACUUUCUUAGAGGAAUAUUAUUUUACAUUAAGCAUACCCACAUUGUAAGUUUUCUACAAAUAUUCUAAAAGACCUAUGUUGGGGACCACCUCCAUGUAUAAACCUUACUUUUCAGAAGUAGCCACUGUUCUUACUUUCUUAUUGCUCUUAUGCUAUAUACUGCACACAUCAGG